GCCCUUAACUCUGGGAUAAGCCUGGGAAACUGGGUCUAAUACCGGAUAUGACUCCUCAUCGCAUGGUGGGGGGUGGAAAGCUUUAUUGUGGUUUUGGAUGGACUCGCGGCCUAUCAGCUUGUUGGUGAGGUAAUGGCUCACCAAGGCGACGACGGGUAGCCGGCCUGAGAGGGUGACCGGCCACACUGGGACUGAGACACGGCCCAGACUCCUACGGGAGGCAGCAGUGGGGAAUAUUGCACAAUGGGCGAAAGCCUGAUGCAGCGACGCCGCGUGAGGGAUGACGGCCUUCGGGUUGUAAACCUCUUUCAGUAGGGAAGAAGCGAAAGUGACGGUACCUGCAGAAGAAGCGCCGGCUAACUACGUGCCAGCAGCCGCGGUAAUACGUAGGGCGCAAGCGUUAUCCGGAAUUAUUGGGCGUAAAGAGCUCGUAGGCGGUUUGUCGCGUCUGCCGUGAAAGUCCGGGGCUCAACUCCGGAUCUGCGGUGGGUACGGGCAGACUAGAGUGAUGUAGGGGAGACUGGAAUUCCUGGUGUAGCGGUGAAAUGCGCAGAUAUCAGGAGGAACACCGAUGGCGAAGGCAGGUCUCU
rnacentral:rRNA from 1 species